GAAGUACAACGAGUNGCGAAGUCGNGAGGNUAAGCUAAUNUNUUAAAGNUUCUCUCAGUUCGGAUUGUAGGCUGNGACUCGCCUACAUGAAGCCGGAAUCGCUAGUAAUCGCGGAUCAGCACGCCGCGGUGAAUACGUUCCCGGGCCUUGUACACACCGCCCGUCACACCACGAGAGUUUGUAACACCCGAAGUCGGUGAGGUAACCUUUUUGGAGCCAGCCGCCUAAGGUGGGAUAGAUGAUUGGGGUGAAGUCGUAACAAGGUAACCAAGGGCGAAUUCGCGGCC
rnacentral:rRNA from 1 species